GCAGCUAUGGAGUAAGGCCACUGAAGAAUGUAUGUAAGAAAAAAAAGAAAAAAAACAUACAAAAUACAAAAUGAUAAAAAGAAAAAAAAAACUCUAAAUCAAAUACAAAAGAUUAGGAUUAAGAUAUAUGAAAAAAAACGAAACCAAAUACAAAAUACGCACAAAAAAAAAAAAUCCAAUACAAAAUGCGAAGGUUAAGGUUAGUGAUAACAUUUCUUUGCGUCAAAAAGGAGCGAUAGUUUUACCUGACGAGGAGUAAAUUUGUAAAAUCGCCACAGUUUUAAAGAAAGUUUCGUUCACGCAUUGCGCAGCCUGGAAAUGACUCCCGGUAAACUUGGUUAAGCUUUAAGUUCCAUCAAAACAAAACAAGAGAGUCAUCGGCCAGUGAGUAUAAGUCCUGAACGACUUGAGAACAGAAAAGAACGGAGACAGUAAUUUCUCUCACAUACCAACUCAAAAAGUCCUUGCGAAAUGGAACGGUCUAUUAGAUUAGAACAUGCAAAACAAAUGCCGUGUGUUUGUCUGUGUGUGUGUGUGUGUGUGUGUGUGUGUGUGUGUGUGUGUGUGUGUGUGUGUGUGUGUGUGUGUGUGUGUGUGUGUGUAAUGUCGUGUGAUAAGUUUCCAUGUUAUGUUGUGUUAUAUGUUUCCAGGUAAUGUCGUGUGAUAUGUUUCCAGGUAAUGUCGUGUGAUAUGUUUCCAAGUAAUGCUGUGAUAUGUUCCAGGUAAUGUCGUGUGAUAUGUUUCCAGGUAAUGUUGUGUGAUAUGUUUCCAGGUAAUGUUGUGUGAUAUGUUUCCAGGUAAUGUUGUGUGAUAUGUUUCCAGGUAAUGUUGUGUGAUAUGUUUCCAGGUAAUGUUGUGUGAUAUGUUUCCAGGUAAUGUUGUGUGAUAUGUUUCCAGGUAAUGCUGUGUGAUAUGUUUCCAGGUAAUGUAGUGUGUUUCCAAGUAAUGCUGUGAUAUGUUUCCAGGUAAUGUCGUGUGAUAUGUUUCCAGGUAAUGUUGUGUUAUAUGUUUCCAGGUAAUGUUGUGUGAUAUGUUUCCAGGUAAUGUCGUGUGAUAUGUUUCCAGGUAAUGUAGUGUGUUUCCAAGUAAUGCUGUGAUAUGUUUCCAGGUAAUGUCGUGUGAUAUGUUUCCAGGUAAUGUUGUGUGAUAUGUUUCCUGGUAAUGUUAAGUGAUAUGUUUCCAGGUAAUGUCGUGUGAUAUGUUUCCAGGUAAUGUAGUGUGUUUCCAAGUAAUGCUGUGAUAUGUUUCCAGGUAAUGUUGUGUGAUAUGUUCCAGGUAAUGUCGUGUGAUAUGUUUCCAGGUAAUGUUGUGUGAUAUGUUUCCUGGUAAUGUUAAGUGAUAUGUUUCCAGGUAAUGCUGUGUGAUAUGUUUCCAGGUAAUGUAGUGUGUUUCCAAGUAAUGCUGUGAUAUGUUUCCAGGUAAUGUCGUGUGAUAUGUUUCCAGGUAAUGUUGUGUGAUAUGUUUCAAGGUAAUGUUGUGUGAUAUGUUUCCAGGUAAUGUUGUGUGAUAUGUUUCCAGGUUAUGUUGUGUGAUAUGUUUCCAGGUAAUGUUGUGUGAUAUGUUUCCAGGUAAUGUUGUGUGAUAUGUUUCCAGGUUAUGUCGUGUGAUAUGUUUCCAGGUAAUGUUGUGUGAU